rnacentral:rRNA from 1 species
ACUCCUGCGGGAGGCAGCAGUGGGGAAUAUUGGUCAAUGGGCGCAAGCCUGAUCCAGCCAUGCCGCGUGAGUGAUGAAGGCCCUAGGGUUGUAAAGCUCUUUCACCGGUGAAGAUAAUGACGGUAACCGGAGAAGAAGCCCCGGCUAACUUCGUGCCAGCAGCCGCGGUAAUACGAAGGGGGCUAGCGUUGUUCGGAUUUACUGGGCGUAAAGCGCACGUAGGCGGACUAUUAAGUCAGGGGUGAAAUCCCGGGGCUCAACCCCGGAACUGCCUUUGAUACUGGUAGUCUUGAGUUCGAGAGAGGUGAGUGGAAUUCCGAGUGUAGAGGUGAAAUUCGUAGAUAUUCGGAGGAACACCAGUGGCGAAGGCGGCUCACUGGCUCGAUACUGACGCUGAGGUGCGAAAGCGUGGGGAGCAAACAGGAUUAGAAACCCUAGUAGUCCCAUG